UACGUAGGGGGCGAGCGUUGUCCGAAGUUACUGGGCGUAAAGCGCGCGUAGGCGGCUUUGCAAGUCGGGUGUGAAAUCCCCAGGCUUAACCUGGGAACUGCAUUCGAGACUGCAUUGCUAGAGUAUGGGAGAGGGAAGUGGAAUUUCCGGUGUAGCGGUGAAAUGCGUAGAUAUCGGAAGGAACAUCAGUGGCGAAAGCGACUUCCUGGACCAAUACUGACGCUCAUGUGCGAAAGCGUGGGGAGCAAACAGG
rnacentral:rRNA from 2 species